GACGAAGUGACCAAGGGCACACGGGGAAUGUCUUGGCGUCAGGAGGCGAUGAAGGACGUGGGAACCUGCGAAAAGCCUUACGGAGCUGGUAACCGAGCUGUGAUGUAAGGAUGUCCGAAUGGGGAAACCCGGCGGGAAGCAUGUCCCGUCACUCAACGGUGAAUACAUAGCCGUUGGAGAGCGAACGGGGGGAAGUGAACCAUCUCAGUACCCCCAGGAGAAGAAAGCAAACGCGACUCCGUCAGUAGCGGCGAGCGAAAGCGGAUCAGCCCAAACCGAGUUGGUGUCAAGCAUGCGGGCGUUGCCACCUCGGUGUUGUGGGAUUGUUCUUGCCCCAUCUGCAUGUGGGGCGGGGAGUUACAAAUCACCUUCCUAGCCGAAACUGUCUCAGGAAUGGUCUGCCAUAGAGGGUGAAAGCCCCGUAGGCGAAAGGAACGGUGACUCCCUUGAAUUGUCCCGAGUACCACAGGGCACGUGAAACCCGGUGGGAAUCAGGGUGGACCAUCACCCAAGGCUAAGUACUCCUUUGCGACCGAUAGUGAACCAGUACCGUGAGGGAAAGGUGAAAAGUACCCCAGUGAGGGGAGUGAAAUAGUACCUGAACCCGUGCAUCUACAAGCAGUGGGAGCACUAUGCCGUCUUCGGACGGAACGUGCGACCGCGUGCCUUUUGCAUAAUGACGCCGGGAGUUGGUGCAUGCAGCGAGGUUAAGGGUCUCUGGCCCGGA
rnacentral:rRNA from 1 species